UGCAGCCUUGACCUCCUGGGCCCAAGUGAUCCUCUUGCCUUAGCCUCCGAAGUAGCUAGGACUACAGAUGCUACUACCUGGCUGGCACAAUAGGAGAAAAAGAUUUGGAAACAGAGACAUGGAGACACAGAGAAGGUCACGUGAGGAUGGAGUCAGAGAUUGGAGUGGUGCAGCUACAAGCCGAGUAAUACCAAGGUGCUGGCAGCCACCAGAAACAAGGAGAGAGGCAUGGAACAAUCUCCAUCAGAGCCUCCGGAAGAAAGACUCUGUCAACACCUUGAGUUCAGAGUUUUCGCAUCCUUCACUGAGACAGAAUUCAUUUCCGUCGUUUUAAA